UGCCAGCAGCCGCGGUAAUACGGGAGGGGCAAGCGUUAUCCGAAAUGACUGGGCGUAAAGAGUCCGUAGACUGUACUGUAAGUUAUUUGUUAAAUCCUAAAGCCCAACUUUAGAACAGCAUUUAAUACUACUUUACUUGAGUUUUGUUCGGAAGAGUAGAAUUCCACGUUUAGGGAUAAUCCCCGUAGAUAUGUGGAGGAACACCAUUAGCGAAGGCGACUCUUUGGUAAAAACUGACGUUGAGGGACGAAAGUGUAGGGAGCAAACAGGAUUAGAUA
rnacentral:rRNA from 1 species